rnacentral:lncRNA from 1 species
GUUUGAGAAUUCAUAACCUGACGCUGGAAGAAGAGUGAAAAGGGCUAUGACAGAGGGAUGGCAGAGAGAUGAGGGUGAAGAGAGAGAAAAGAACUUGAGUUCUCUAAAGGAGAAUUGUUACCGCAUAAGAAAUUCUCUUGGGAAGUAUCCAUCCAGAGACCUCUGGAAAUAGGUUAGUAUUGAGAGAUGAACGCCCCAAGUACCUAAAUGAACAAUUCCCUUUCUCUAAAUUUGAUUACUGUCAUCAUAAUGCUAUGUAUUUUAUUUAAAAAAUAGUUCAAACCUCCUACAAAGGCAGGUCUUUGGUUUCCUGUCUUUGGAGAUGUAAGAAUUGGAAGAAAAGAAAUAUGGACUUGGAGAAGUCUAGGGCCAGCUUGCUCCCUUCCGGCUCAGGAUUAAUCAUCCCACAUAGAAGAAAAUGAACAAAUAAAUAAAUAAAAAUUAGUUCAGAUUAGACUUAUUUUGCCAUCUGCUUUAAUCUAAGAAUUCAUUUCUCUAUAAAUUCCUAACAGUAUAUGACAGUUUUAGAGGUAGAUCAAGGAGUCGUAGAAAUAAUCUAUUUAUGUAUAACAUUAUAUGUUCCAAUUAACAACAAAAAAAAGACACCUGAAAGUGGUUUAUCAGUAUUCAUAGUUGACUGGGAAAAUCCACCUCUGCCUGUGUUUUUAAGUUGUGCAGUUUUCUCCUGGUGUCUUUUUUUGAUCGUCUGCUCUGAUACUUGUUGUAACUGCUCAAGAAAAAGGGUUGUAAGAAAAAGUGUUUGUCUCAGAAAAUAAUGUUUUUGUAUCCAUUGACUUAUGAAACAUCAUUUUCCAAAAGUACUGAAAUUCGCUGUCAGGUGAAGAUACUUUGCAGAGGAGGUAGGGAGAGAGAGGCUCCUAUUUGUUUCUUGCUGAUCUGGUUCUGGCCCUAGAGCCUGGAGGUCAUCUUAGUAGGCUCUGGAAUCUGAUGUUUUCUUUUGAUGCGGGGUGAUAGGACUUGAAGGUGACUUUCUCAUGUUCAUCUACUCAUGAUCGACUUGUUUAUAGCUGCUUUAUAAUUUGUAGUGUGAAAUUAAGAUUUUUUAAAAUUGGAUAGUUUUGGAGAAUUCCGGGGUCUUAAGACAUCCACCAUCAGUAAUGAGAAGGUUUCUCAGUGAGAAGAGAAUCACCAUUUAAAAAGCAAGCAGGCAAAUCUUGUAAGUUAUUUCAUCCUGGCAGCAAUAGAGCCAGGGAAAUUGUACUCAUUAAUGACUGGAGGUCACUUGAAGUCCUCAGGUCUCUUUUCUUACACAACAUUGAAAGAAUGCUUGC